rnacentral:lncRNA from 1 species
CUAACACUUUUCCAGGACAUCAAAUACGACCUAAGAACCAUAGUCACCGCCCCGCCAUGGCCGUUCCUCAUUGUUUUGCAUUUUACGGCCAAACAACUAUAAUUCCGCCCGAUUCCCAUAUAUUCGUGUGCUAUAUAUAGCCCACGCCUUCCUAGUGGGUCCGGGCCCUCCGGACCCCGAUCGCCUAAAAUGUUUCUGGGCUAUCAAAUACGACAUAAGAAACCAUAGUCACUACCCUGCCAUGACCGUUCCUCAUUGUUUAGCUUUUUACGACCAAAAAACUAGAAUUCUGCCCGAUUCCCAUAUUUUCGUGUGCUAUAGCCCAUGCCUUCCGAGUGGGUCCGAGCCCUCGGACCUUGAUUGCCUAAUAUUUUUCCAGGCUAUUUAAUACGACCUAAGGAAUCAUAGUCACUGCCCCGCCAUGGCCGUUCCUCGUUGUUUUGCGUUUUACGGUCAAAAAACUAGAAUUCCGCCCGAUUCCCAUAUUUUCGUGUGCUCUAGCCCAAGCCUUCCGAGUGGGCCCGGGUCACCCGAAACCGGAUUGCCUAACACUUUUCCAGGCCAUCAAAUACGACCAAAGGAACCAUAGUC